AUUGAACGCUGGCGGCAGGCCUAACACAUGCAAGUCGAGCGGAGCGGCGGACGGGUGAGUAAUGCCUAGGAAUCUGCCUGGUAGUGGGGGAUAACGUCCGGAAACGGGCGCUAAUACCGCAUACUAUCAGAUGAGCCUAGGUCGGAUUAGCUAGUUGGUGGGGUAAAGGCCUACCAAGGCGACGAUCCGUAACUGGUCUGAGAGGAUGAUCAGUCACACGGGAUCUGAGACAGUGUCCAGAGUCGUACGGGAGUCAGCAUUGGGGAAGAUUGCGCAAAGGGCGCAAGCCGGGUGCAGCCAUGCCGCGUGUGUGAAGAAGUUCUUCGGGUUGUAAAGCACUUGCAGCGGGUAGUAGUUACCGGCAGAAGAAGCACCGGCUAACUCCGUGCCAGCAGCCGCGGUAAUAC
rnacentral:rRNA from 1 species